rnacentral:rRNA from 1 species
GAGUUUGAUCCUGGCUCAGAUUGAACGCUGGCGGCAGGCCUAACACAUGCAAGUCGAGCGGCAGCGACUUAACUGAACCUUCGGGGAACGUUAAGGGCGGCGAGCGGCGGACGGGUGAGUAAUGCCUGGGAAAUUGCCCUGAUGUGGGGGAUAACCAUUGGAAACGAUGGCUAAUACCGCAUAAUGCCUUCGGGCCAAAGAGGGGGACCUUCGGGCCUCUCGCGUCAGGAUAUGCCCAGGUGGGAUUAGCUAGUUGGUGAGGUAAGGGCUCACCAAGGCGACGAUCCCUAGCUGGUCUGAGAGGAUGAUCAGCCACACUGGAACUGAGACACGGUCCAGACUCCUACGGGAGGCAGCAGUGGGGAAUAUUGCACAAUGGGCGCAAGCCUGAUGCAGCCAUGCCGCGUGUAUGAAGAAGGCCUUCGGGUUGUAAAGUACUUUCAGCAGUGAGGAAGGCGGAUGUGUUAAUAGCGCAUUUGUUUGACGUUAGCUGCAGAAGAAGCACCGGCUAACUCCGUGCCAGCAGCCGCGGUAAUACGGAGGGUGCGAGCGUUAAUCGGAAUUACUGGGCGUA